rnacentral:rRNA from 1 species
UACGUAGGGGGCAAGCGUUGUCCGGAUUCAUUGGGCGUAAAGAGCGUGUAGGCGGCCAGGUAGGUCGGUUGUGAAACGUGGAGGCUACAACCGUUCAGAGGUCGACCGAAACCAUCUGGCUAGAGUCCGGGAGAGGAGAGUGGAAUUCCGUGGUGUAGCGGUGAAAUGCGCAGAUAUCAGGAGGAACACCGGUGGCGAAGGCGGUUCUCUGGGCCUGUACUGACGCUGGAGGAGCGAAAGCGUGGGGAGCGAACAGG